rnacentral:rRNA from 1 species
AGUGAACGCUGGCGGUAGGCCUAACACAUGCAAGUCGAACGGCAGCACCGUACGAGCUUGCUCUUCCGGGUUGCGAGUGGCGGACGUGUGAGGAAUACAUCGGACUCUACUUUUUCGUGGGGGUUAACGUAGGGAAACUUACGCUCAUACCGCAUACGACCUACGGGUGAAAGCAGUGGAUCUUCGCACCUUGCGCGAUUGAAUGAGCCGCUGUCGGAUUAGCUAGUUGGCGGGGUAAAGGCCCACCCAGGCGACGAUCCGUAGCUGGUCUGAGAGGAGGGACAGGGACAGAGGAACUGAGACACGGCACAGAGUCCGACGGGAGGCAGAAGUGGGGAAUGGAGGAAAAUGGGGGCAAGACUGAACCAGCGAUACCGCGUGGGUGAAGAAGGCCUGCGGGUUGUAAAGCCGUUUUGGUGGGAAAGAAAGGCGGCAGGUUAAUACAAGGCUGUGUUGAGGGAACCGAAAGAAUAGAAACCGGCUAAUUUGGU